AUUGAACGCUGGCGGCAGGCUUAACACAUGCAAGUCGAGCGGUAACAGAGAGAAGCUUGCUUCUCUGCUGACGAGCGGCGGACGGGUGAGUAAUGCCUAGGAAUCUGCCUAGUAGUGGGGGAUAACUUGCCGAAAGGUAAGCUAAUACCGCAUACGUCCUACGGGAGAAAGGAGGGGACCUUCGGGCCUUUCGCUAUUAGAUGAGCCUAGGUCGGAUUAGUUAGUUGGUGAGGUAAUGGCUCACCAAGACCGCGAUCCGUAACUGGUCUGAGAGGAUGAUCAGUCACACUGGAAAUGAGAGACGGUACAGACUCCUACGGGAGGCAGGAGGGGGGAAAAUUGGAAAAUGGGGGGAACCCUGAUCCAGCCAGGCCGGGGGUGGGAAGAAGGUCUUAGGAUUGUAAAGCACUUUAAGUGGGGGGGAAGGGCAGUUAAAUAAUAUUUGACUGUUUUGACGUUACCGAAAGAAUAAGCACCGGCUAACUUCGU
rnacentral:rRNA from 1 species